rnacentral:rRNA from 1 species
GGAUGUGAUCAUACCAGCACUAACGCACCGGA